UACGUAGGGGGCAAGCGUUGUCCGGAUUUAUUGGGCGUAAAGAGCUCGUAGGCGGCUCACUAAGUCGGAUGUGAAAACUCCAGGCUCAACCUGGAGACGCCAUUCGAUACUGGUGUGGCUUGAGUUCGGUAGGGGAGCACGGAAUUCCUGGUGUAGCGGUGAAAUGCGCAGAUAUCAGGAGGAACACCGGUGGCGAAGGCGGGUUGCUGGGCCGACACUGACGCUGAUGCGCGAAAGCCAGGGGAGCGAACGGG
rnacentral:rRNA from 1 species